GCACAAGCGGUGGAGCAUGUGGUUAAUUCGAUGAUACGCGAGGAACCUUACCUGGGCUCGAACGUAAGAUGACUGUAGGUGAAAGCUUACAUCUCUUCGGAGCAUUUUACGAGGUGCUGCAUGGUUGUCGUCAGCUCGUGCCGUGAGGUGUCGGGUUAAGUCCCAUAACGAGCGCAACCCCUACCUUUAGUUGCCAUCAGGUUAAGCUGGGGACUCUAAAGGAACUGCCUACGCAAGUAGUGAGGAAGGUGGGGAUGACGUCAAAUCAGCACGGCCCUUACGUCCAGGGCUACACACGUGCUACAAUGGCCGGUACAAAGGGCAGCUACCUGGUGACAGGAUGCUAAUCUCAAAAGCCGGUCUCAGUUCGGAUCGGAGUCUGCAACCUGACUCCGUGAAGCUGGAAUCGCUAGUAAUCGCGCAUCAGCCAUGGCGCGGUGAAUACGUUCCCGGGCCUU
rnacentral:rRNA from 1 species